GUGAGGAAUAUUGGACAAUGGGCGAGAGCCUGAUCCAGCCAUGCCGCGUGCAGGAAGACUGCCCUAUGGGUUGUAAACUGCUUUUAUACAGGAAGAAACACUCCCUCGAGCAGGGAGCUUGACGGUACUGUAAGAAUAAGGAUCGGCUAACUCCGUGCCAGCAGCCGCGGUAAUACGGAGGAUCCAAGCGUUAUCCGGAAUCAUUGGGUUUAAAGGGUCCGUAGGUGGAUAAUUAAGUCAGAGGUGAAAGUCUGCAGCUCAACUGUAGAAUUGCCUUUGAUACUGGUUGUCUUGAGUUAUUAUGAAGUAGUUAGAAUAUGUAGUGUAGCGGUGAAAUGCAUAGAUAUUACAUAGAAUACCAAUUGCGAAGGCAGAUUACUAAUAAUAUACUGACACUGAUGGACGAAAGCGUGGGGAGCGAACAGGAUUAGAAACCCUAGUAGUCC
rnacentral:rRNA from 1 species